UCGUGUUUAAUUUGUAUGAUCUCCGUUCUUUUGUAGCAACAUUUUGGAUAUAAUAAGGGUAACAAUUUCUGUCCAGUUUACUCCCUUAUAUUUCUUUUCUCAUUGCGUAUUUUGAUGGUAAAAAUAAGUUUUCAUCUGAUGGGAUGAAUACUUGUAUUUCAUGAAUAGGAUAUUUUUGAGUGCGCCUCUAUUAACAGUAGGGCCAGCAUCUUGCAAAAAAAAAGUGAGGCCUCUGAAUUUCUUGAACUUUCACGGUCCAUGGGGAUAAGAAUGAACUAUGAUCAUGACGUUUAAUUUCUUCCCCUCUUAAUAGUUACAGUAGCAAUACGGCUGAAGCUAGAGCAAUUUGGGCUAAAAUGUUGUAUAGAUAAUGAUCCCGACAACGUCAUCAUUGAAAUUGAUUUUCCACCAUGGCAUUUGAGGGAGAUUAUUUGUAGAUUCAAGACCUAUAUGACUAACUGUACAUUACAAUGUUGUUAUAGAGAAGCUAAUCAAGUAGCGGACGCUUUGCCCAGUGGAGUAUUGACAACUCGAGUCUUAUUCUCCAUUCCAACGAUGAUCUGCCUCAAAGGGCUAGGGGCUUAUAUACACUUGAUUUAUUUCAGAUGACCUUUUUCCAACAUAAGCACAAGAAUUAUAGUUUUUUGUGAGCUUUUUCCUUCUGUGUAAUCUUUCUCUAUUGUAAGUAUAAGCAAGCAUAAUCUUUGUAUUUUCGCCAACUUUAGGUAGGCUUAAGUUCUUUUCUUUAGCAGUCGUAUAUCCACUUCUGUUGAUGUAUCCUUCUCAAUGUUGAAUGAAACCCAAACGCUAUGGGAACAAUUGAUUUAAAAAAAUUCUCUGAGUUGUAAUAUAUAUAUAU